rnacentral:rRNA from 1 species
CAAAACUUUCAACAACGGAUCUCUUGGUUCUGGCAUCGAUGAAGAUCGCAGCGAAAUGCGAUAAGUGAUGUGAAUUGCAGAAUUCAGUGAAUCAUCGAAUCUUUGAACGCACAUUGCGCCCGCCAGAAUUCUGGCGGGCAUGCCUGUUCGCGCGU